CAGUAGCCGCGGUAAUACGUAGGGUGCGAGCGUUAAUCGGAAUUACUGGGCGUAAAGCGUGCGCAGGCGGUUCGUUAAGUCUGCUGUGAAAUCCCCGGGCUCAACCUGGGAAUGGCAGUGGAUACUGGCUCGCUAGAGUGUGUCAGAGGAUGGUGGAAUUCCCGGUGUAGCGGUGAAAUGCGUAGAGAUCGGGAGGAACAUCAGUGGCGAAGACAGCCCCCUGGGAUAACACUGACGCUCAUGCACGAAAGCGUGGGGAGCAAACAGGAUUAGAUACCCGCGUAGUCCCUGUCUCUUAUAC
rnacentral:rRNA from 1 species